GACGUAGGGUCCGAGCGUUGUCCGGAGUUACUGGGCGUAAAGCGCGCGCAGGCGGAUGCUCGCAUCGGUGGUGAAAGCCCCCCGCUCAACGGGGGAGGGUCCACCGAGAUGGGGUAUCUGGAGGCAGGGAGAGGCCAGUGGAAUUCCGGGUGUAGUGGUGAAAUGCGUAGAGAUCCGGAGGAACACCAGUGGCGAAAGCGGCCACCUGGGCUGUACCUGACGCUGACACGCGAAAGCUAGGGGAGCGAACGGG
rnacentral:rRNA from 1 species